rnacentral:rRNA from 1 species
GACCUGAGAGGGUGAUCGGCCACACUGGGACUGAGACACGGCCCAGACUCCUACGGGAGGCAGCAGUAGGGAAUCUUCCGCAAUGGACGCAAGUCUGACGGAGCAACGCCGCGUGAGUGAUGAAGGGUUUCGGCUCGUAAAACUCUGUUGUUAAGGAAGAACACUUGAGGUAGUAACUGGCCUUGAGAUGACGGUACUUAACCAGAAAGCCACGGCUAACUACGUGCCAGCAGCCGCGGUAAUACGUAGGUGGCAAGCGUUAUCCGGAAUUAUUGGGCGUAAAGCGCGCGUAGGCGGUAAAAUAAGUCUGAUGUGAAAGCCCCCGGCUCAACCGGGGAGGGUCAUUGGAAACUGUUUUACUUGAGUACAGAAGAGGAGAGUGGAAUUCCAUGUGUAGCGGUGAAAUGCGCAGAGAUAUGGAGGAACACCAGUGGCGAAGGCGGCUCUCUGGUCUGUAACUGACGCUGAGGUGCGAAAGCGUGGGGAUCAAACAGGAUUAGAUACCCUGGUAGUCCACGCCGUAAACGAUGAGUGCUAAGUGUUGGGGGGUUUCCGCCCCUCAGUGCUGCAGCUAA